rnacentral:rRNA from 1 species
CGGGAUGGGUGAGUAACGCGUAGGAACCUGUCCUUUUGUGGGGGAUACCAGUGGGAAACCGCUGCUAAUACCGCAUGAGGUUGCCGGGGGAGACCCUGGUAAAGAAGGGCGAAAGCCGCAGAAGGAGGGGCCUGCGUCCGAUUAGCUAGUUGGUGUGGUAACGGCAUACCAAGGCGACGAUCGGUAGCUGGUCUGAGAGGAUGGUCAGCCACACUGGGACUGAGACACGGCCCAG